UACGUAGGGGGCGAGCGUUGUCCGGAAUCAUUGGGCGUAAAGCGCGUGUAGGCGGCCCGGUAAGUCCGCUGUGAAAGUCCAGGGCUCAACCCUGGGAUGCCGGUGGAUACUGUCGGGCUCGAGUCCGGAAGAGGCGAGUGGAAUUCCUGGUGUAGCGGUGAAAUGCGCAGAUAUCAGGAGGAACACCGGUGGCGAAGGCGGGUCUCUGGGCCGAAAUUGACGCUGAGGAGCGAAAGCGUGGGGAGCAAACAGG
rnacentral:rRNA from 1 species